rnacentral:rRNA from 1 species
AGUGAACGCUGGCGGUAGGCCUAACACAUGCAAGUCGAACGGCAGCACAGUAAGAGCUUGCUCUUACGGGUGGCGAGUGGCGGACGGGUGAGGAAUACAUCGGAAUCUACUUUUUCGUGGGGGAUAACGUAGGGAAACUUACGCUAAUACCGCAUACGACCUACGGGUGAAAGCAGGGGAUCUUCGGACCUUGCGCGAUUGAAUGAGCCGAUGUCGGAUUAGCUAGUUGGCGGGGUAAAGGCCCACCAAGGCGACGAUCCGUAGCUGGUCUGAGAGGAUGAUCCGCCACACUGGCACUGAGACACGGUCCAGACUCCUACGGGAGGCAGCAGUGGGGAAUAUUGGACAAUGGGCGCAAGCCUGAUCCAGCCAUACCGCGUGGGUGAAGAAGGCCUUCGGGUUGUAGAGCCCUUUUGUUGGGAAAGAAAAGCAGCAGGUUAAUACCCCGCUGUUCUGACGGUACCCAAAGAAUAAGCACCGGCUAACUUCGUG